ACGGGGGGAGCAAGCGUUGUUCGGAAUCACUGGGCGUAAAGGGCGUGUAGGCGGUUCGGUAAGUGGGAUGUGAAAUCCCUCGGCUCACCCGAGGACCUGCAUCCCAAACUGCCGGGCUCGAGUAUGGGAGAGGAUGAGGGAAUUCCUGGUGUAGCGGUGAAAUGCGUAGAUAUCAGGAGGAACACCGGUGGCGAAGGCGCUCAUCUGGCCCAGUACUGACGCUGAGGCGCGAAAGCUAGGGGAGCAAACGGGA
rnacentral:rRNA from 1 species